UUUUCCCCAAAGUGUGAGUAAAUAAGUGGUUUGCGCAUCAUUGUGGUAGCAAAGCUAAAAUUCCUGACGGUCUUGUCUUCUUGACCUGCUCAUUCCCUACUUUGAAACCAAGAGAAGACUGUGCCACAAGACUCCUCCAGAAAUUGCUGCAAUGUCUGUAACUAAUUUAUCAUGAUGCCUUGAUGUGAGGUAAUGUUUUGAUUGGGAGGCCAUCCAAAACACAAUGAACUCCUCACAGAGAGAUGGUGUCUUGUGGUUCCAGUCCAGUUGUCCAGCACGGCUCUUAGCAUUUAGUGGAUGUUCUAGAAAUGUAUGCUGUGCGAAUGAAUGGAAAAAUGCAAGAAUUCCCAAACCUUCUGUAAAUCAGUAUGUAUUGAUUGUCCCAAUAGAAUCAUACAUUAAACUCUCCAAUGCAGUAAGAGUGACUCAUUCAGAUUCUUCAGGAUUGUUCUCUUCCUCGUUGACUGAAAAUCAAGAGGAACAUAGGAAAAAAUUGCAAAGUCGGCAAAAGUGGUUUUUGAUAUAUUUGACUUUCCUAUUGGUACCCUCUGGCUCUUUUGUUUCCUCCUUCUUAGAGAACCUAUAGUUACCUUUUAUCUUUGUCUCAUGAUGGUUAUUUCCCAUUUUUGCUUUAUCUCAUUGAGGGUGCUUAUCAUCUGUCUAGCUCAAAAACUGAUCGGUUAAUGAACUGCCUCAUAUACUUCCCCUUCAGGGCAACUGAUGUGUAUUUUUGUCAAGAGCUAGAGAGAAUGUAUUAAUGCUAGAGGAUGCCUCUAAGUCACUACCAAGCAGUAGGUAGGCCUAAAUGAUCAGUUUCGUAGUCAUUUGACC
rnacentral:lncRNA from 1 species